rnacentral:sRNA from 1 species
GUUAUACUAACUAUACGUAUAAUGAAAUUAGACAGUCCUUCCUCUAGAUCUUUGAAGGAUUUUGUCUAAUUUCAGUAUACGUAUAGUUGCGGUCAC